CCUCCGUAGGGGUAACCUGCGGAGGGAUCAUUACACAAAUAUGAAGGCGGGCUGGAAUCUCUCGGGGUUACAGCCUUGCUGAAUUAUUCACCCUUGUCUUUUGCGUACUUCUUGUUUCCUUGGUGGGUUCGCCCACCACUAGGACAAACAUAAACCUUUUGUAAUUGCAAUCAGCGUCAGUAACAAAUUAAUAAUUACAACUUUCAACAACGGAUCUCUUGGUUCUGGCAUCGAUGAAGAACGCAGCGAAAUGCGAUAAGUAGUGUGAAUUGCAGAAUUCAGUGAAUCAUCGAAUCUUUGAACGCACAUUGCGCCCUUUGGUAUUCCAAAGGGCAUGCCUGUUCGAGCGUCAUUUGUACCCUCAAGCUUUGCUUGGUGUUGGGCGUCUUGUCUCUAGCUUUGCUGGAGACUCGCCUUAAAGUAAUUGGCAGCCGGCCUACUGGUUUCGGAGCGCAGCACAAGUCGCACUCUCUAUCAGCAAAGGUCUAGCAUCCAUUAAGCCUUUUUUCAACUUUUGACCUCGGAUCAGGUAGGGAUACCCGCUGAACUUAAGCAUAUCAAUAAGCGGAGGAACC
rnacentral:rRNA from 1 species